ensembl:rRNA 5S_rRNA 5S ribosomal RNA
GCAAGCAGCCAUAUCACCCUGCAACUCACAACUAGCAACCCACUGAAGCUAAGCGGGUGUGAGCCUGGUCAGUACCUGGAUGGGAGACCUCCUGGGAAAAACUAAGGUUGCUGCUGGAA